ACACCAAAGAUCUUUGAAAAUCUCACUUGUAUGUGGGCGAUGAGGGCCCCACUCAGUCCAGCUGAGCCUUCUUGUGCUCAGCUGACUGCGUGGUCCUGCGCUCUCCCCAGCCAUUGGACUGUCCAUCCCGCCUGGGACUGGCAUACACUAGGGAUGAGUGGGAUUGGGUGCUGAGCCCCAUCCCAUGAGCACACUAAGAGGUCCUAGCAGCGCCCCACCUCACCCCCUUGGCACCCUCUUCUGCCUCUGAAAGCUACUUAUUGCAGCCCAGGGCAUCAGAUGUGAAGCUGGUGUGGCCAGAAGCAGCCCCCACCCAGGUGUCCUGGACCCUGGCUGGGGUGCUCGCCAGCAGGCAGCUCCAAGGACACCACAUGAACAGUUUCAUGGCCUAUCUUGUACCUGACUCCUUCCCCUGGCUCACAUCUCACACUGUACCAGGGCUUCCCGGGACCAAGUCCCAAAUAAAUGGUGUUCAAACUUUUGUCCCAGGCUCUACUUCCGGGGAAACCCAAACUAGACAUGCUCGUUGGGUUUCUUCUAACCCAGAGGCAUGAGCAGCCAUGCCUGUGGUCGGCCGCAUGGAGGUGGCCAUGAAUGCAAAGCACCGCUGCCCCCCACCUCCCUCGGGAAGCACAUGCGCGUCAAAGCUUGGCUGACAACAGGUACCGUGUGGCCCAGCACAGCAAGGCCUCUCGUGACCACAGCUUCUGCCUGAGGCCAAGCCCAGGCCGCCGUCCCCCAUUCCCCAAUGUCCAGCCAGCUGAAGCCUUCAGACUCUCAAAAGCAGCUGGACAGGCCACACCUCUGCACAGAAAUUACUCUUCACAGUCACAAAGACUGGAAAAUGCCCAAUUCCCUCAUGAUUUAUCUCCUUCCCCCCAAAAAAACUUUCUUGAAACGUGAAGUAGACUUAGAUGGAGAAGGUUGACAAAUACAAAAUUACUGCACAGUUUGGAAUUGGGGCAGAGUUAGAAAAAGUCCAAAUCUAGGUAAGAAUUGGGAUGGGGGACCCGGAGAAGGGGCUGGUUCAUGUGCAGCCUAAACUCAGAAACUACGCCCAGCCCGGCAGAGGGCCCUCUUCCAGCUUGUCCAGCAGGCAACGCUUUACUUCAAAAUGUCCACUGGGUGGCAGUAGAGCUCCUUGUUUCUAGCAGCCACUAAGCCUGGGUAUUCAUGGAGAGUAAAAGGAAGGUGACAAACACCCAGGGACCUGAGCCCCUGUGUGUGUUGUGUGCCAGGGCUUCCUGGGUGUCGUUUUGAGCAAAAGGAGUGGAUAGUCAUGAGAGGUUUUUUAAAAAAAGAGACAGAUGUGUGAUAAAGAUUAUAAAAUGUGACCAGUAGGAUGUAGGUGGUAGGAUGUGGUGGGGUUUUUAUUUUAUUUUUUAGAAGAGUUUUAGAUUUGCAGAGAAACCAAAAAGAUAGUACAGAGUUUCCAUAAACCCAGCCUGUUUCUCCUAUUGUUGACGUCUUAACUUAGUUUGGUACAUUUGUCAUAAUCAAUGGACCCAUGGAGUCUAUACUUUAUUCAGACUUCCUUCGUUUUCCCUAAUGUCCUUUUCUGUUCAAGGACCCCACACGGCAUUGACUCAUCCUGUCCUCAUGGGCUCCUCUCAGGCUUGCCUUGCUUUUGGUGUGUUUGGCAGAUUGCAGAAUCCCCAUUGGCGGGGAUUUGUCUGGUGUUUUUCUCAUGAUCAGAAUGAGACUGGGUUUUGGGAAGAGGACCACACAAAUCACAUGCCGUUGUCACUGUAUCACAUUAAAGGUGCACAGCACCACGGUCCUGGCUGAGGAAGGUGCCACUGUGUGCACCCUACACUCCAGGAUGGCGGGGGACUCCACCUCCUUGACAGCAUCAAUUAUUUGGAAUUUUUUGCACAGGAGAGACCAUUAACAAAGAGCUGGAAACCACUAAGUCUUUCCUUGAGCUUAAAAUAGAGGCUUUUAGAAAAGAAUGCUUCAAAAAGAAAUAUAAACAUUCAGGACAAGCUGUGCUAAUGGCUAGCAUUAAAGAAGAAUCCAGUCUUUUAGAGGAUGCACCAAAACGUAUCUAAUAUCUAGUACCUGCAGCUGGAACAGCCUUCAAAAUACAUCAGAAGGAUUAAAAUUAAAAACACACACACACUUUAGACAGGGCUAACAUAUGCUUUGGAUGAAAACGAUCUUCAUGAGUGUGUGAGCUGCUUUCACAAGAAGCAAAGAAGGGAAAGGGAGAGUGAUGAAAAUAUCAAACAAAAUGAAAUGUUAGAAAAC